GACGAACGCUGGCGGCGUGCUUAACACAUGCAAGUCGAGCGACUGCAUUCUUUUCGGAGGGUGUAUGGAGCGGCGAACGGGUGAGUAACACGUGAGUAAUCUGCCUUUGGCUUGGGAAUAACUUCGGGAAAUCGGGGCUAAUGCCUGAUGUUUACUGUCUGCUGCAUGGUGGGUGGUGGAAAGAUUUUUUGGCCGAGGAGUGAGCUCGCGGUCUAUCAGC
rnacentral:rRNA from 1 species